CCGGCGAUGUCCGAAUGGGGAAACCCAGUGCAAUUCGUUGCACUAUCGUUAACUGAAUACAUAGGUUAACGAGGCGAACCGGGGGAACUGAAACAUCUAAGUACCCCGAGGAAAAAAAAUCAACCGAGAUUCCCCCAGUAGCGGCGAGCGAACGGGGAGCAGCCCAGAGUCUGAAUCAGCUUGUGUGUUAGUGGAACGGUCUGGAAAGUCCGACGGUACAGGGUGAUAGUCCCGUACACCAAA
rnacentral:rRNA from 1 species